rnacentral:rRNA from 1 species
UACGUAGGCAGCGAGCGUUGUUCGGAGUUACUGGGCGUAAAGAGUGCGUAGGCGGUUUUCUAAGUUUGGUGUGAAAUCCCCGGGCUCAACCCGGGAACUGCGUCCGAUACUGGCAGGCUUGAAUCCGGGAGAGGGAUGCGGAAUUCCAGGUGUAGCGGUGAAAUGCGUAGAUAUCUGGAGGAACACCGGUGGCGAAGGCGGCAUCCUGGACCGGCAUUGACGCUGAGGCGCGAAAGCCAGGGGAGCAAACGGG